AGCAGCCGCGGCAAUUCCAGCUCCAAUAGCGUAUAUUAAAGUUGUUGCAGUUAAAAAGCUCGUAGUUGAAUUUCGGGAUCAAUACGCCUGUCGUGCCUUCGGUACGUACGGGUGUAAUUGGUUUCUACCUUCUGAGGAUCCUUGAUGUCAUUAAUUUGGUGUCUUGGGGAAUCAGGACUGUUACCUUGAAAAAAUUAGAGUGUUUAAAGCAGGCAUACGCUUGAAUACAUUAGCAUGGAAUAAUGAAAUAGGACGUUCGAUUCUAUUUUGUUGGUUUCUAGGAUCGACGUAAUGAUUAAUAGGGAUAGUUGGGGGCAUUAGUAUUCAAUUGUCAGAGGUGAAAUUCUUGGAUUUAUUGAAGACUAACUACUGCGAAAGCAUUUGCCAAGGAUGUUUUCAUUAAUCAAGAACGAAAGUUAGGGGAUCGAAGACGAUCAGAUACCGUCGUAGUCUUAACCAUAAACUAUGCCGACUAGGGAUCGGAUGAUGUUAAUUUUUUAAUGACUCAUUCGGCGCCUUACG
rnacentral:rRNA from 1 species